ensembl:lncRNA
UUCUGGUGCCAUCGCACUGCCAGUGCGGCUGGGCCUGCGUGCGCAGCCUCUGUUCACGUUUCUCUCCUCCCGCGAGAUCAGGUCUGAGGCCCCGGGUAGUCUCGAGGCCGGGUUCUCGAGGCCCCGGGUGUUCUCUAGGUACCCGGAUGUUCUCGAGGGCCCUGGAUGUUCUCAGCGCCCAGAGGCAGGAAGUGGAUCUGCUGCUAAGUAGCUUCAGUGGUGUCCGACUCUGUGCGACCCCAUAGACGGCAGCCCACCAGGCUCCCCCGUCUCUGGGAUUCUCCAGUGUGUUCUGGCUGCUUCUGCACCGUUCUUUGGAAGGGAUAUACUUCCCUUGUUUAUGCUCCCAUGUUUCAGAGAAGACGUCACGGCUGCAGCAGACAUGGUUUGCGAAAAGUCCUGCUCUCGUGAAUGGACCCAUCCCAGGUGUACAGCCUGAUAGAUCUUUACAAGGUGAACACUUCCGGAGCGUAGUACAGAACCCAGCACCGCAGAAGGUCCUCCCAGUGACAGACCCACUCCCUGCAAAGGAUCAUGACCACUGUGACUUCCAUCAGCAUCAGUGAACUCUGUUUGUGUUUUUAUGGUAGAAUGAAGGAGUCGUGUAGAAUCCUAGAGUAGAUUCUCUUUAGCCGCUGACUGCACUUUCUCAGCACUGUCUUUAAGAUUCUUCUUGAGAGGCUGUUUUCUAAACGUCCUCAGCGCUGAUCCAAUCAGAAGGC